rnacentral:rRNA from 1 species
GAUGAACGCUGGCGGCGUGCCUAAUACAUGCAAGUCGAGCGAACGGACGAGAAGCUUGCUUCUCUGAUGUUAGCGGCGGACGGGUGAGUAACACGUGGAUAACCUACCUAUAAGACUGGGAUAACUUCGGGAAACCGGAGCUAAUACCGGAUAAUAUUUUGAACCGCAUGGUUCAAAAGUGAAAGACGGUCUUGCUGUCACUUAUAGAUGGAUCCGCGCUGCAUUAGCUAGUUGGUAAGGUAACGGCCUACCAAGGCAACGAUGCAUAGCCGACCUGAGAGGGUGAUCGGCUACACUGGAACUGAGACACGGUCCAGACUCCUACGGGAGGCAGCAGUAGGGAAUCUUCCGCAAUGGGCGAAAGCCUGACGGAGCAACGCCGCGUGAGUGAUGAAGGUCUUCGGAUCGUAAAACUCUGUUAUUAGGGAAGAACAUAUGUGUAAGUAACUGUGCACAUCUUGACGGUACCUAAUCAGAAAGCCACGGCUAACUACGUG